UGUUCGAUCGGGUCGGCCUUCUUCUCCAAUAGCUCAAGCGAUCACAUCGUCACUCGCCGGCGCGCCCUUAUUCUUCCCCGGCAACGCCGCUGGUUUCUUAACACUGCCGCCUGUGUCCGUGCCGGAGAAGUAAUCUCUCUCUAUUCUAUCUCCUUACCACUGGAGACGUCUGCCGAUAGGGCACUUGUCAAUGAGAUCAAAGUAAAUGCAUUCGAAUGAUUACUGGAGAAUGGAAGGGACUUAUUGGAUCUGAUGAAAGAUGGAGCUCAGGUGGAGUCGAAUAGCGAAGAGCAGAAAUCUGGGGAAAAAUUGCCUUGCUGCUAACAUUUUCAAAACAUCCUUAUCGAUUCAGCUUCUGCUUCAGAGACUCUACAGGAGUAGAAGAUAUCUGAGCCCUACAAGUCAGCAUGGCCACUAUGUCAGACAUUGGAGGCCUCAAGUCUGGGUGUAGCUGAAGGCACAGCAGAGCAACUUGGCACACCUGCAACACUUCUUUCUCCACUGUUCCUUCAUCUAAUUUUGACUUGAACUGAAGAUGGAUUCAGAAAUGGAGGAGCAAGGAAAGGGAGAUGAGAGUUUACAUAUUCUGGAAGGUAUUGCAUCUCAAUUGGAAGAGAAAGAUCCGUGUUGGUCCUGCAACUGAUGAUCUCCAGCACAAGAACACCGAAGCUGUAGAUGUCGGCUUUUGCCGAAAGCUCACCUCGCAGAGCAUAUUCAGAAGAUGGUGAUGGAGUUUACAAAUGGGGCCUUUGGUGGAGUUGGCAAUCUUCCACAACGACCCCUUCUGCUUCCUGCACCUCCAGCAAAACACCAUGAGUGCAAAACCAACAAGAAGUGAAGCUACCGCGACGCUGAUAAAGAGCAAAAGUGAUGCUUGCUGCAUUGGAGCUGCAAAGUCUGUAAAGAUCGAAGGUACCUUGGAGAAACUGAGGUGGCAUCAAUCUGCUGGCUCUUCAGCAUAAUAUGAUCUCUUCAUGCUCGUGGAGGAAGAGGGGGCAUCGUUGGGAACAAGAAGGGG